AACGCUGGCGGCGUGCUUAACACAUGCAAGUCGAACGAUGAUGCCAGCUUGCUGGUGGAUUAGUGGCGAACGGGUGAGUAACACGUGAGUAACCUGCCCUUGACUCUGGGAUAAGCCUGGGAAACUGGGUCUAAUACCGGAUAUGACCUUCCAUCGCAUGGUGGUUGGUAGAAAGCUUUUGUGGUUUUGGAUGGACUCGCGGCCUAUCAGCUUGUUGGUGGGGUAAUGGCCUACCAAGGCGACGACGGGUAGCCGGCCUGAGAGGGUGACCGGCCACACUGGGACUGAGACACGGCCCAGACUCCUACGGGAGGCAGCAGUGGGGAAUAUUGCACAAUGGGCGCAAGCCUGAUGCAGCGACGCCGCGUGAGGGAUGACGGCCUUCGGGUUGUAAACCUCUUUCAGUAGGGAAGAAGCGUAAGUGACGGUACCUGCAGAAGAAGCGCCGGCUAACUACGUGCCAGCAGCCGCGGUAAUACGUAGGGCGCAAGCGUUAUCCGGAAUUAUUGGGCGUAAAGAGCUCGUAGGCGGUUUGUCGCGUCUGCCGUGAAAGUCCGGGGCUCAACUCCGGAUCUGCGG
rnacentral:rRNA from 1 species